AUCACCUUUGGAUGCGAAUCGAGGUAUUCGAAGAGUUUAAAAGCCUUCGUGUGCUUUCGCAUUCGUGCUUCAUGGGUGCACUUCUUCGUAUGGUAGGUUAACAUCAAUUUUGGACGUUACAGAAUGAUUGGGGGAAUGUAGCUUCGAUUUUUCGAAGUGUUAUAGCCCUUGGUAGAUGUGACGACCGGGAUUGAGGAUUGCAACGAAUGCUUUCGGGCUAUCCGUCUGACCUCUGGUGGUUGCUUUGGGGUCGAAAGCGUGCUUACGACUUUAAAGUUGGCUAUCAAAAGGCUAGAACGUGAUUAAAUUCGUUAAGGAUGUUGACGUAAUGGCUUU
rnacentral:rRNA from 1 species